rnacentral:rRNA from 1 species
AAUGACGCUCGAAUAGGCAUGCCCCUCGGAAUACCAAGGGGCGCAAUGUGCGUUCAAAGAUUCGAUGAUUCACUGAAUUCUGCAAUUCACAUUACUUAUCGCAUUUCGCUGCGUUCUUCAUCGAUGCCAGAGCCAAGAGAUCCGUUGUUGAAAG